AGCAGCCGCGGUAAUUCCAGCUCCAAUAGCGUAUAUUAAAGUUGUUGCAGUUAAAAAGCUCGUAGUUGAAUUUCGGGAUCAAUAUGUUGGUCGUGCCUCGGUACGUACUAGCAUAUUGGUUUCUCCUUUCUGAAGAACCAUGAUGUCAUUUAUUUGGUGUCGUGGGGAAUCAGGACUGUUACUUUGAAAAAAUUAGAGUGUUUAAAGCAGGCUCACGCUUGAAUACAUUAGCAUGGAAUAAUGAAAUAGGACGUUUGAUUCUAUUUUGUUGGUUUCUAGGAUCGACGUAAUGAUUAAUAGGGAUAGUUGGGGCGAUUAGUAUUCAAUUGUCAGAGGUGAAAUUCUUGGAUUUGUUGAAGACUAACUACUGCGAAAGCAUCUGCCAAGGAUGUUUUCAUUAAUCAAGAACGAAAGUUAGGGGAUCGAGACGAUCAGAUACCGUCGUAGUCUUAACCAUAAACUAUGCCGACUAGGGAUCGGAUGAUGUUAAUUUUUUAAUGACUCAUUCGG
rnacentral:misc_RNA from 1 species